GUAGGUGGCAAGCGUUGUCCGGAAUUAUUGGGCGUAAAGCGCGCGCAGGCGGUUCUUUGAGUCUGAUGUGAAAGCCCACGGCUCAACCGUGGAGGGUCAUUGGAAACUGGAGAACUUGAGUACAGAAGAGGAAAGCGGAAUUCCACGUGUAGCGGUGAAAUGCGUAGAGAUGAGGAGGAACACCAGUGGCGAAGGCGGCUUUCUGGUCUGUAACUGACGCUGAGGCGCGAAAGCGUGGGGAGCAAACAGGAUUAGAUACCCUGGUAGUCCACGCCGUAAACGAUGAGUGCUAAGUGUUAGGGGGGUUUCCGCCCCCCUUAGUGCUGCAGCUAACGCAUUAAGCACUCCGCCUGGGAGUACGGCCGCAAGGCUG
rnacentral:rRNA from 1 species